UCCCUACGGGACGCAGCAGUGGGGAAUAUUGCACAAUGGGGGAAACCCUGAUGCAGCAACGCCGCGUGAAGGAAGACGGUUUUCGGAUUGUAAACUUCUGUUCUUAGUGAAGAAAAAUGACGGUAGCUAAGGAGCAAGCCACGGCUAACUACGUGCCAGCAGCCGCGGUAAUACGUAGGUGGCAAGCGUUGUCCGGAUUUACUGGGUGUAAAGGGCGUGCAGCCGGGCCGACAAGUCAGAUGUGAAAUCCGCGGGCUUAACCCGCGAACUGCAUUUGAAACUAUUGGUCUUGAGUACCGGCGAGG
rnacentral:rRNA from 1 species